CGCCUGACUGCGUAAAUUCUUUGUGCCCCUUCCCCCCCCCUGGUGUCAAUGUAAUGUUCCAGAGGGGGUCGGGCCCUCUCUGUCUUAAUCUAUCCAUCAAUCGAGUCAGUCUCAAUAAAAGUCAGGUGAACAAUCUCAAUUCUGUGUCAUCUCUAAUUUAUUUCAUCUAAGAUUCGCGGAGCUCCAAAAGCGGGCUCCUUUUUCCAUCAAAAUUAGGCCCGAGCAGAAACGAAAGCGGAACCAGCUCCGCCUGGAAGGGAAGAUUCCCCCAUGGACGGGCCCGAUUCGUGAACCACUCCGAAAAAACACGAGAGAAGGACGACGGGAGGAAUACAGGAACCGUCCGAUCGUUCCAUGCGCCGUCGUGUCCAACGACCCGGUCCUUCCAGUUCCAACACCGGAACAAGACGCAGCCAAUCGACGCCGGGUUUUUGAGCGAUUAGACGCUGCCGC